UGGCAAUAUCUGUUAGAUUCAAACGUAAGAUGAAGUCAGUACUUGCAAGGGCAUUUGCCAUUAUGAGACAUGUGUCGAAAAUGAAACGGUGAAUGCGGCCGUUGUUUCAGGUUUCUCAAAAGAUUCACCGACCGUUGGCACAGUAAUCGAAAGCACACAGCCUUGAUGAUAACGUCAAACCUCUUCGCCAUGCUUCAGUUACUUCCAAGGAAUAUCGAACGUCGGAUUCAACCUGCUUAUUUGCCCAACGGGAAAUUAGCACAAAGGAACGAUGUUCAAUAUCAAUCGGCUGCCCGCAAAGCCUCUCCGAUGUUGACAUUUUUCGAAUCACAGCCUUCCGAAUCUUAUUUCUCUUCUCACCUCAUUAAUGUACGCGCGAUAGAGGAAUCUGUGGAGUCGAUUCUUCCUUCGAAAGCCGAAUAAAGUACGUACAAUGAGGCCAACUUCCCGAGAAA